AGUGAACGCUGGCGGUAGGCCUAACACAUGCGAGUCGAACGGCAGCACAGUAAGAGCUUGCUCUUACGGGUGGCGAGUGGCGGACGGGUGAGGAAUACAUCGGAAUCUACUUUUUCGUGGGGGAUAACGUAGGGAAACUUACGCUAAUACCGCAUACGACCUACGGGUGAAAGCAGGGGAUCUUCGGACCUUUCGCGAUUGAAUGAGCCGAUGUCGGAUUAGCUAGUUGGCGAGGUAAAGGCCCACCAAGGCGACGAUCCGUAGCUGGUCUGAGAGGAUGAUCAGCCACACUGGAACUGAGACACGGUCCAGACUCCUACGGGAGGCAGCAGUGGGGAAUAUUGGACAAUGGGCGCAAGCCUGAUCCAGCAAUACCGCGUGGGUGAAGAAGGCCUUCGGGUUGUAAAGCCCUUUUGUUGGGAAAGAAAAGCAGCAGGUUAAUACCCCGCUGUUCUGACGGUACCCAAAGAAUAAGCACCGGCUAACUUCGUG
rnacentral:rRNA from 1 species